rnacentral:lncRNA from 10 species
GGCCACCACCCUGCCUUGAGGACAUUGCAUAGAGAGCUUCUCAACAAGCCAAGACCAAGAAAAAGUCACCUCCUGAAGUGCUGGAUAUGCUGGAAGAACUAGAAGGUGGAAGUCAAGGUGCUUGGAAGCAGUGAAUGGUCACCAGCCCAAUCCCAACAACUGCAGAUGUCCCAUCAGGUCCCUCGAUCUGAAAGGGACCCAGGAAGAAGAGGACACAUUGCUGCUGUUCAUUAAGUUAGAUUCUGUUACAUCACAGAGGGGGAGAAUGGGUAAAAAGUAAACUAGUAGUAUCUGCUAAAACACUAUUUUAUUUUGUUCAAAAGCCUAUGAACCAAGAAAAGUCAGGAACAGACACAAACAUGGAUAGAUAGAAUUCAGUCCCAUAUCACCUAAGGUAUUGAAACAUGAUGGGGUUGAAAGAAUACAGAAUAAUAAAUUAGGCAGGUAAUGUUCAAAUUAUAAUUUGAUUAACCAAAUACGCAAAUGUUCAACUUUACCUACAAUCUAGGUUUAAAUACACUACGAAUAAAUAAAAUUGCUAAUUCUGUGAAAAAAAGAAAAUGUCAAAAGUUGAGAAAAACAAUUGCUCAUACUCAGAACUCUUUUGUAGUUUAUGGAUAACAUGAGUAUCAUUUUGUUAAGCUUGCAUAACUGAGUAUGACCUCUCUUGGUCUGGGAUCCUAGGAAAGAAGACUAGGGUAAGACUUGGAUGCUGUUGUUUGAUUGGGGAGUGCAGUCCCAGAGAUGUGUAGUUGAAGUCAAAGAAAAGUAAGGCAGGAAGGAGGGGUGGGGCACCAGGAAAUUCUGCACAUGGGGUCACUGCUUCGUGAGGAAAAUUAGUCUGUUGGGUGACCAGUCCCUUGAGGGGAGGAAUGGAGAGAGAGUCGUUGUAGCUUUCUGCCUCUUUUUGAGGACUUCUUUGGUUGAAAGUCUGCUCCCUGUGGCGGUAACUCCCCCGCACCGCUGGGUUGCCUCACCUGGAGCCUUUAGCAGUCUCCGGGAAGCCAGAUCUGUGCCCUUCUGCCAGGGUCUCUGGUAUUGUCCUGUAAUCUUCAGGAUGAAGGACGCUGGAGACAUAAAAGACUACGAAAAUCUGAAACAGCACAGAAAAUACCGCCAACUAGUAAAAGUUUAAGACACCAUCAUUCAAGUGAAAAUUUUAAUUUGAAAAAAAUCCAACUUGUUAAAUUCCAAACUUAGACCGAAUUUUGCAAACAGUAAUUACUGUUGUAUUUUUUGUAACGUUGUUUUAUUGUAUUAUUUAUUGACAAGUACAUAAACAAGACAUAUGUUACUAAUGGAUAAUGAAUAUGUCUUGGUAGAUAAUGAUUUUAAAAAAUUCAAUUAUGCAAACUUGUGAUUUUGAAAAGUCAUUACACAUUUUUAUUUAUAAAUAUUUUUACAAUGUAGUGUUCAGAUUUAAUUGUGUACUUUACUUGCAACUUCUCAUCAUGUCAUUUGUACAUAAAAAUCUAUAUACAAAAAUCUAUAUAGAUUUUAUAUACAAACGACAUGAUGAGAAGUUGCAAGUAAAGUUCACUAAUUGUGUGGUUUGUGUCCUUAUUCCCAUUUUGAAUGACAAUGAAAACUAAGACUAUAUGUUUAAUAACAUCUUCUUCCAAACGCAUUAUGGUUCAGCAUAAAGCACAAAUUUUAUUCAAGGGUUUACUACAUUUUCAUGAUUUGAAAAACUCAGAAAUAUUACUCAGCCCAGAUAAAAUAUUCCACUCUGGAAGAAUGUGUUUGAUUGGUUGAUGCCUUGGAGAUCAAUUAUUCUGAAAUAGUAAGUUCAAUCUGGCAUCAUUCAAAGUCAUCUCUCCCACAAUCACCUGAAGGAAUGAUAAUACGGCAGGAAACCAAGAAAAAUUAAGGAUUUUUAAAGCCUCCACUGCAAAAAAGAAUGGGUUCUUAUAGUCACCGUGACCUUGGUGCAGGGUAUUUUCUGGGGGAUUGAUGCCCUUCUCGGACGAUCAACUCUCCCAGCUGAUCAUUAAUCCCCAGACAGUGCCCCUGUCUGUAUCACCAUUGUUUAAUUCAAUUAUUUGUGGUGUGGGCUUUACUUUGUGAAUAUUUUAUUGUUCAGUGGGGCUCCCUGACUUUCCUCUCUGCCUGUGCAAUUCUAUUUCUUUGACAUAGACCAGAUCCCGUUUGCAUUCCCUCACACACUCAGAGCUAUCUCUAAUUCAUGGAGAGGAAAAUAUAUGUGCAUUCACAGAUACAGAUAUGGUUAUGCGAACAUUUUGUGUGGAAAUAUUUAUAAACAAAUUCAAAUAGACUAUUAAUGAACAUAUAUGCCAGUUUUAUAAAUCACUGUAGGUUGUUUUAUCAGAGUGUGCACUUUUAUAGGCCAGAAUUGGGUAUCACCAUUUAGAUAAGGUUGGAUGUUACUAGUUGAAUAAACAGUUAUAGUCUCUUAACAUAAGAAUGGAAUUUAAAUAUUAGAAGCAGAAAAAAAUGCAAUGUGAAUAAUCAUCUCAGGGUGCAGGUAUCUGGUAUCUGGGCCAAUGCCCAUGUCUACACAUGGUUAAGGACUAUGUACCUUCAGACUGAUGGGCAGAUGGGCACGGCACCUAGCAUUCAGCAUUCAUGGCCAGAGAGAUCAGGUUCAAAUCUCAGCUCCAUCCUGAGACUAGAGUGCUUUGAAUGCAUUGCUACUUCCCCUAUUAGGUACCUAGGGAGCAUUACUACUCCAGUGCUUCUGAGAGGGUUAAACGUGGAGCUAUCACAUGGUUCAUUCUUGUGAAUUGUAUGCAGACAUAUUCCAUAGGUCACAUAACUCUCAGUGUGGAUAUGUGUGAAUGUGCACACAUACAGAUGUAUGCAGGUUUAUUAUAAGCAAACGAUUCCAUUUGUAAUGCUUGUUUCUGUUGAAGAUGUUUUUCUAAUAGUAAAUGAGUUUAUUGAGUUAUAAAGCUUUCACCUCAUUUAAAUUGAAGUAAUUUAAAAUAAAAUCAUGAUAUAUUUCAGUGAUACAUUUGAAUUUUAUUAAUUUGUUAUAUUUAUAAACACUGUUUGUAUUUUAUUUUUGUGCAUAAAUUACAUGUAAUCUAAUUUUAUAAGUAUGGCAAUAGUCCUAGG